AAACCCUUUAACGAGGAUCUAUCAGAGGGCAAGUCUGGUGCCAGCAGCCGCGGUAAUUCCAGCUCUGAAGGUGUAUACCACCGUUGUUGCGGUUAAAACGCUCGUAGUUGGAUCUACGUUCGUGGGGUCGGUGUUCUCGUUUGAGUUCUACUGACUACCUGAACUGAAACAGCUGGUUUUCCCUUGGUGCUCUUUAUUGGGUGCCCUGGGUGGCUUGCAAGUUUACUUUGAAAAAAUUAGAGUGCUCAAAACAGGCGCAUGCCUGAAUAGUGGUGCAUGGAAUAAUGGAAUAGGAUCUUGGUCCUAUUUUGUUGGUUUUCGGGAGCCAAGAUAAUGAUUAAGAGGGACAGACGGGGGCAUUCGUAUUGCAGCGUUAGAGGUGAAAUUCUUGGAUCGUUGCAAGACGAACAACUGCGAAAGCAUUUGCCAAGAAUGUUUUCAUUAAUCAAGAACGAAAGUUAGAGGUUCGAAGGCGAUCAGAUACCGCCCUAGUUCUAACCGUAAACGAUGCCAACUCGCGAUCUAGUGGUGUUAUUUAUGACCCGCUAGGGAGCGUCCCGGAAACGAAAGUUUUUCGGUUCCGGGGGAAGUAUGGUUGCAAAUCUGAAACUUAAAGGAAUUGACGGAAGGGCACCACCAGGAGUGGAGCCUGCGGCUUAAUUUGACCCAACACGGGAAAACUCACCCGGCCCGGACACCGUAAGGAUUGACAGAUUGAGAGCUCUUUCUUGAUUCGGUGGGUGGUGGUGCAUGGCCGUUCUUAGUUGGUGGAGCGAUUUGUCUGGUUAAUUCCGAUAACGAACGAGACUCUAUCCUACUAAAUAGCAAGCGGAUCAGCCCAGUCCGCAGUGCUUCUUAGAGGGACAAGCAGCUUUUAGCUGCACGAAAGUGAGCAAUAACAGGUCUGUGAUGCCCUUAGAUGUCCGGGGCUGCACGCGCGCUACACUGAAAGGAUCAGCGUGCAAGAUACCUUCCCCGAGAGGGGUGGGUAACCCAAUCAAAACCUUUCGUGAUUGGGAUAGGAGAUUGCAAUUAUUCUCCUUGAACGAGGAAUUCCCAGUAAGUGUGGGUCAUCAGCUCGCGCUGAUUACGUCCCUGCCCUUUGUACACACCGCCCGUCGCUGCCCGGAACUGAGCCGUUUCGAGAAGAACAGGGACUGCUGUUUGGUGGCCUUCGGGUUGCCUCUUGGCGGAAACUGUUUU
rnacentral:rRNA from 1 species